ACCACAAUCAAUCAUACUCAAAAGCAAGUUAUAAUCAUAAGGACUUUUCAUGGCUUAUAAUGAGGAUGGGCUAACAAGAAAAUUUGGUUUUUCUAGAUCACAAAAUCCUUGAGUUAAGAGAGCUAUUGAAACAUUUAUAAUUCAAGCACAAACUCGCUUUCAUAACCAAUCUCACUCAUUCCCAACUUUCCCUUUUUUGCAUUGAGCUUAUCUUUUUCUUUCAUUUUAUCUUUUCUAUCUUUUUCAUUUUUUCAUGUUUUGCUCAACACAUUAGCUCAAUGUUUAUCUUUUCUUUUUCAACUUUCCCAACAGCCCCAAACUUGAACCUUUAUCAAUACCACAAUAAUUCUCAAC
rnacentral:lncRNA from 1 species